CAGCAGCCGCGGGAAUACGAAGGGGGCUAGCGUUGCUCGGAAUGACUGGGCGUAAAGGGCGCGUAGGCGGCGGCCAAAGUCAGGCGUGAAAUUCCCGGGCUCAACCUGGGGGCUGCGUUUGAUACUUGGUUGCUUGAGUGGGGAAGAGGGUCGUGGAAUUCCCAGUGUAGAGGUGAAAUUCGUAGAUAUUGGGAAGAACACCGGUGGCGAAGGCGGCGACCUGGUCCUCUACUGACGCUGAGGCGCGAAAGCGUGGGGAGCAAACAGGAUUAGAUACCCCAGUAGUCCCUGUCUCUUAUAC
rnacentral:rRNA from 1 species